GCCAUCUUGCUAUUCAUUUACUCCACAGCUUUUUUAUUCAUAUGUGCUUGCAAUGUCUUCUACAGGAAUGAGUUAUGCUCAUGUUUACGUGCAGCAGAAGAAACAGAAGCAAAAACUGAUGAAAAUGGAAGCAGGAAAAGCAAAGGGGGAAACUAAAUGCAUGGCAGAAAAACUUACUGAGGAGGGUCAAGGCAUGCAGUAUAAAGAUGCCGGUAUUUUCGUCCACCAUCUUCGAAGAGAAGAAGUAGCCAUUUUAUCAUAAGGUUUUCAAGUGUUUUUAAAGGGCUUGUUAAUGUAAAUUAAAUUCUACUGAAAAUCAAGGAUGUGUGUGUGUAGUAGUAGUUGC
rnacentral:lncRNA from 1 species